UCUUUCUUCUUUCUUGCCUGUUAAACUUUUUACUUCUUAACGACCACUCCACAUGUGUCUGUGUCAUUACUCCUAAUGGCACAAAACUAAGGACUCUGGUGUUCCUGCAGUCAUGGAAGCUGCAUCACUAUGAGAAGUUGAUAUGGGAAAUGAAGUACCUCUGACUCCUUGAAAUAAAUUACAACCCUAGAGACUUUAGAAGACUGUCUAGGUUCCAGUUUUGUUAACCAGAAAAUAAGAAUGGCUUUGCCCACUAAUCAACAUCUCUUGACAAG
rnacentral:lncRNA from 1 species